GGGAAAGAGGAGAGAGAGGAAAGGGAGAGAGGUUGUUAUUCUCAGUCUUUGAUUAACCGGUUUCUUUCAUUCUAGUGGGGUCUUUAUUAUUUAGAAAAAUAAAAAUGAUCCGGGGAUCUCUCCAUUCUCACCCCAAAAUUUGGAGUAGGUAAUGGCUGCCUACAACCUGGUCCAACAUAUGCCUGCAAACUAAAACAAACAAACUCAUUUGCCAUACAAAUUGUUUACGAUUCAUUAAAAAGCAAAAUUGCAUAUCCCGGUACUGGCAGCUGAGGCCGAGGCGGAGGGGGCAUUCACUGAGUUGCCUUUGUAUGCUGGGAGGACCAAGCCGGAGGUUCCCACUAUGCAGCCCGGGAGUCUGUGCAGCCAGAUGACGCAUGAGGUAUCCAAGGUAUGCCAGUUCCAUAAGUGCUCUGAGUCAGUCAAGAAAGAAACCAGUCACUCUGACAGCCCCUUAAAAAUCCAUAUGUUGGAUGCACAUUCUACUCUUUUCUUUCCCUCUCAAGAAAGAAGUCACAAGAGUGUUUACCUCUGAUCACGACACCCAAGAUAUGGUGGUUCCUGAUCAGCACUCCACAUCAG